AGCGUAGACGGAUAGGCAAGUCUGGAGUGAAAACCCAGGGCUCAACCCUGGGACUGCUUUGGAAACUGCAGAUCUGGAGUGCCGGAGAGGUAAGCGGAAUUCCUAGUGUAGCGGUGAAAUGCGUAGAUAUUAGGAGGAACACCAGUGGCGAAGGCGGCUUACUGGACGGUAACUGACGUUGAGGCUCGAAAGCGUGGGGAGCGAACA
rnacentral:rRNA from 1 species